rnacentral:rRNA from 1 species
UGGGGAAUUUUUCCGCAAUGGGCGAAAGCCUGACGGAGCAAUGCCGCGUGGAGGUGGAAGGCCUACGGGUCGUCAACUUCUUUUCUCGGAGAAGAAACAAUGACGGUAUCUGAGGAAUAAGCAUCGGCUAACUCUGUGCC